rnacentral:tRNA from 2 species
CGGGGCGUAGCGCAGCCUGGUAGCGCGUCUGCCUUGGGCGCAGAAGGUCAGGAGUUCAAUUCUCCUCGCCCCGACCA